rnacentral:misc_RNA from 1 species
UCACUAUUUCCUUAAAUUCUAAACUCAAACACACGCCCGGCGCCGAUAGCGGCAACCCGACCUGCGACAAAAUUAUCAUUGACCGAACGGUUCGGUCAAAUGUAUUUUAAGGCGAUACUUGGAUACCGCAUUAUGGGUUCCCGUAUUCUUUCCGGCGGCGCGAUCCACAGCGGAACGAAAAAACAGACUAAACAAAUGGUUACACAGAGCCACCUGACGGUCGCGUCCGGCGACGAAGACAGCGC